GAUGAAGAACGCAGUGAAAUGCGAUAAGUAAUGUGAAUUGCAGAAUUCCGUGAAUCAUCGAAUCUUUGAACGCACAUUGCGCCCCCUGGCAUUCCGGGGGGCAUGCCUGUCCGAGCGUCAUUUCUGCCCUCAAGCCCGGCUUGUGUGUUGGGCGUGGUCCCCCCGGUUUAGGGGGGACCUGCCCGAAAGGCAGCGGCGACGUUCCGCCUAGGUCCUCGAGCGUAUGGGGCUUUGUCACCCGCUCGGGAGGGGCCUACGGGCGUUGGCCAUCCACCAUUUAUUUUUUUUACGGUUGACCUCGGAUCAGGUAGGAGUUACCCGCUGAACUUAAGCAUAUCAAUAAGCGGAGGA
rnacentral:misc_RNA from 1 species